rnacentral:lncRNA from 1 species
UGAUUUUGAAGUAAAUUAUCAAUUUGAUCCGAUUGGGAUGAAAGCUGUUAAAGAGUUCAGAGAAGAGUUGGCCAGAAUUGGUAAAAUUGUUGACCAAAGAAACAGCGAGAGAGAGUCGGCGUACCCUUAUUUACACCCUGAGGAAGUACCAAAUGCUAUCAGCAUAUGAACCCACAAUUAGAUCAAGAUAACGUAAAUAAUAACCCUGUAUUACUAUUCUUCGAUUGUUUUUUAGGGUGGGUUACUAUUUGAGUAUAGGUUACUGUUAGAGUAGUGGGUAUACUUGAAAAUAUUAAACCCCCACGCACCCUCACCACUUGCGUCAGCAAUUCAUAGAAAUAAAUAACUACAGUACGAGUAAACUUGGUUGAUUUAAUUUUAUUUAUAAACUAAAAAUUGUCCGCCACUCAUGCAUUAUCUUCUUAUAUUUGUUAUUUUUAAAAUGCGGCGGGCAUCAUUAACGGUCAGUCAUUAAGGAAAAUUACCAAGGAGUCAAUUCAAGUAAGAAUCAUCAACGGCGUAAUCACAAUAUAUAUUUUAAGGAAUAGGCCUAAAUCGCGUUAAAGCAUAAACAAUGUUGAUUUGAAUGUCAUUUGUUUAUAGUUUUGGUUACUCUUGUAGUAACCCCAUAAGUUAUUAUUAGAGUGUGAGUUAUUAUUAUAGAUCAACUUCUUUGGUGGGUGGAAGGGGUUACUAAUAGAGUAAUGGUUAAUAGGUAGUUUUCGCCGCACGACGUUAACCUUAACGUUAACGGAUGAUGUCAUAAUUUAUUCAUCUUGCGUUGCGGAGUACGUAAAUUUCAGGAUGUUACGUGUUCAACGUACGUUAGUUACGGGUUUGCGCAUGCAUAUUUCGAUUUGUUUACAAAAAGGGGCGGAGCUAUCGCGCUGAAUGUUGGGUACUAAAGUUAAAGUUAAGUUAAGGUUAACGUCGUGCGGCGAUAACUACCUAUUAUUAGAGGUUUUACGGUUUUUCUUAAUGUUUAACAGUAUUUAUUAUAGAAGGUGACCCUUUCAGUGUAUCCUAGAAGAUCGGCUGAUAUUCAGGUGCCCUCUUAAAUAAUGUGAGGCUUUUUCAACAAAGUCUCAUUACGAGGGAGUGGAGAUGAUUUUUAGUCGUGAGAAAAAUGUUUUACUGUCACUGGAUUAGAACUCAGGAUCCUGGGAUAGGAUCGAAGGCAAGCAUCUCAACCACUAAGCUACAGAUCCACAACAAUAUAUGUAUAUAAUAAGGUUAUUUUUGAAUUGGUGUUUUGUUAUAUAGGUGUUAUAUCUAAAAAAAUAGUUUUUAAUCUAUUUUUUAUUUUGACUUUAUUUAGAGAAAGUAAUCCUUCCAACUGGGUUUUGAAAGCCCAGUUGAUACUGUAUUUGGGGCUUUUACCCAAAAGGUAGUUACAAUUACAAAGACAGUUGCAUUAACAACAUUACGACAUGGAGUUCCAAUAAAACAAACCGCAUAGGCCUAAGUGUAGAUAAUUAACGUUAAAAUUAAGUUAAUGAUUACAGAAAUUAAUAGAACAUUUAAGAUAUAUACACAUUAAUAUUAUAACUACAUUAUAUUAUUAAUCUACAUUACAACGUUAUAUGAAUCAUUUAGUUUAAAGUGUAAUUAUGUUUAAUCAAAAUAUAUUGAUUUAAAUUUGUUAAUACUUCUAAGAAAUAUACAAUAUAGAAUUAUGCUACGAAGCAGCACUGUAUAUACAUUUUGGUGAGACAAUUUGAUUGCCUUAUCCAGAAUAAUAUUUAUGUUAUGUAGUGUGCUUGGUUGCCCUUUAAUGAUUGUGUAGAAUUAAGCAAGAAACAUGUUUUGCAUGAUUAACCACAAAGAUGACUGCCCAAAUUAUAUGGCUUUCGCAAGAGUUACCGUAAUUCAACUCAUCUCACUAAUACAGUAGAACCCCUAUUAAGGGACACCUUGGGUACCCAAAAAAGUGUCCCCUUAAUAGAGGUGUCACCUAUUCAGGGGACACUAACCAAAAAUGUAAAUUUGUCCCCUUAAUAGGCUUUUUGGCAUGCUUUUUGUACCGUGAUGACAUUGGGGUUUUUUUUAUAAUUUUAUUUUAAUUGACCAAAGAACGAUUAACAGUUGCAUUAUAACUAAUUUAAUAUAAUAAUUUGCAAUGCAAAGAAUAAUUCAUUCACUGUAUGAUAUGGAAUCAACAGAUACGGUAUGCUAUUAAAACUACAAAGGUUGUGUACAUUCCUGAUAUUGUUUCAUGAUUCAAUGCAAUGAAAUAACUUUUCUUUUUAAAAAUAUUGAGCUUUCUAUUGAAUGCACAAGAUCGAAUAUCAUUGACUUAAAAUAAGGAUGCAGGCUGUACGGUUUAGAUUAACCUAUAUGAAAAUACACAAAACAAAAAACCCAUGGUUAUUGGUAAAAAGGGUUGUCCCAAAGGAGGGGUUCUACUGACAAAAAA